AAAGGCUCCUUGCUUGCAAGGGGUACUCGAGUGGCGAACGGGUGAGUAACACGUGGGUGAUCUGCCUUGCACUUCGGGAUAAGCCUGGGAAACUGGGUCUAAUACCGGAUAGGACCAUGCUUUAGUGUGUGUGGUGGAAAGUUUUUUCGGUGCAAGAUGAGCCCGCGGCCUAUCAGCUUGUUGGUGGGGUAAUGGCCUACCAAGGCGACGACGGGUAGCCGGCCUGAGAGGGUGUACGGCCACAUUGGGACUGAGACACGGCCCAGACUCCUACGGGAGGCAGCAGUGGGGAAUAUUGCACAAUGGGCGCAAGCCUGAUGCAGCGACGCCGCGUGGGGGAUGAAGGCCUUCGGGUUGUAAACUCCUUUCGCUAGGGAAGAAGCCACUUGUGGUGACGGUACCUGGAUAAGAAGCACCGGCUAACUACGUGCCAGCAGCCGCGGUAAUACGUAGGGUGCGAGCGUUGUCCGGAAUUACUGGGCGUAAAGAGCUCGUAGGUGGUUUGUCGCGUCGUCUGUGAAAUCCCGGGGCUUACUUCGGGCGUGCAGGCGAUACGGGCAUAACUAGAGUGCUGUAGGGGAGACUGGAUUCCUGGUGUAGCGGUGAAAUGCGCAGAUAUCAGGAGGACACCGAUGGCGAAGGCAGGUCUCUGGGCAGUUACUGACGCUGAGGAGCGAAAGCAUGGGUAG
rnacentral:rRNA from 1 species